rnacentral:rRNA from 1 species
UACAUCUGCCUAACUAUCCUAAAGGCAUCAGAUCCUAUCUGAUCUUAGAAGCCAAGCAGCAUCAGCUCUAGUGCUUAGCAUUUGGAUGGGAGACCACAAACAAGUACAAGGUACAGGAGGCU